AAUUAUUAUAAAAUGAUUUUAAAAAUGGCUUUCCUCUCUGAGAUCAAUGAAGUCAUAGUAACAUGAUGAAUUUAUUCACCUCAAAAGUCAAAGUGUGAUUGUUGGUUGCAGUGUUUAGUUUUCAGUGUUGUAUUCUUCUACAUUGUUCAGGUGUUGGAGAUGAACUAUUCUUUAUUAAUGAGGUUAUUUGUUGGACUUGUGUUUUCCAGGUUUACUGGUUCAGCUGCUGCAGCCUGGACACAAACACCAGCUCCCACCUUAAAAACCAAACAGAGGCCUGGACUACGAAGGGAGUUUAACCCACUCUGAUUUAACUCGGGUUAUCAAGGAACGUCAGGGUUGACAGACGUCGGCUGCCUCGAUCUGCGUUAACUACGGCGACGGUGAAGAUGUCAGUAAGUUGAGUCAGUGUUGACUUAAUUCUCAGAUGAAGAGCGCACGUUAAUUCUGUCGGUUUAUGAGGAAUUUAAAGAGACUCUAACGACACAAUGUAAAACCGUAGCUGUCAACAAAGCCAGGGAGACUGGUCACACGUUCUCUGGAUUCUUCAUCUGUAAUAUGGAAGAAGGACACGGAAAAUAUGUGAUGGUUUUUCAGAUACUUGGAUUACAGUCAACACGUGGGUCACAUGUUUGAAAAUGAGCUGUUACUCUCUGUGAAUGAUGAUCUGCCUGGAACACUGUGGCUGUAUAUGUAUGAAUGUAAUGCUGUUAUGUUUAGUGUGAACUUCAUGUUAACAGUAUUUAACAUGAUUGUAUAAAAUGGUUCACAUUCGCUAUCAUUAAUACUGCAUGUUUUGGUAUGAUACAGUAGUAGUGUCAUUUAAUAUAGUACUGUCAUCCAGUAGUCUUGUCUAGUCAGUUCUGCUGCUGUCUAAUAGUGUCAUGUCCUGUACUGUCUUGCCCCUCUCUACCAGUGUGUUCCACAAAGCUUACUGUGCUUCAUUAUCAACUGUAAAGCUCUGACUCACCUUUGUGCACUGUACUACAAUUACAACGGCCUGUGGCAUUAUAUUGUCUUUCAGGACAAUAAUACCCCCAUUUAAAGGAUUAUUGAAAUCGAUAAUAUGCAACAGUAACGAUGCUAAAUUCUGCUGCUUGACCGUGAGAAAGAAAAAUUACAAAUUUGAAAAAUUAAAAAUGGAAAAUGCAGAGCGUGAAAAACAAAGUUUAAAUUUAAAGUUCACAGUAAUGUACAUGAUUCCAUGUGAUUUCCCAAAUAUUUAAUGCUUUUUCUUGUCAUAUGUGACAGGUCAUUUUCUGAGACAGUUCUCUUAUGUUUUGAAAAUGUUCUGGUUCAGCUGUAAUGUUGAAUACUUUUCUGUGUUUUCUUGGUUAAACUGUUGAUGAACAGGUCACAGUGUAUUGAUCAUUGUGCUUUGUAUGUUUCUCUCUGUAUUUCCUGCAGGUGUCUCCACUUCGUCCACGAUCAGAGAAUCUUUGAACAAUGAAGGAAUUGUUUAGACCAGGACAGAGGCCUCCAGAAUUCAAACUUCAACCAUUAAAUCACAGAGAGAAGAGACAGACAUAAAGAUGUUUCCAGAAGGUCUCUGAAACGCCACCAGUGCUGUCGCAUAUCCCAUAACGCCAGGGAGUCAAGAGCGCUUGGGCAGGCGUUCACACUUUGUCUGCUUCAGAAUCACUUCUGUCUCCGACUGACCCUCCUCCCACUGAAAUCAACCCGACUCAACUCUACUGUGACAUUGAGUAUUUUUAACUGUUUUCCAUGCUUUACUAGUUUAUGACAGUAUUUAAGUGUUUAUGAUUGUUUGUUAUGCUUUACUGUAUUAUGACAUUUUUGAAUGUUGUUCAUGCCUUGAGUGUUUUUGACAGUUUUCCAUGUUUUACUGUUUGCCUUGUUGUACUGACAUUUUUGACUGUUGUUCACUGUUUUGUAUGUGUUUUUAUUGUGUGACAAUAAAUUGUGUGUGUGUAUUGUGUUUCCUGUUAGGAAGAGAUAGCAGAGGAAUGAGAGUAAAGGGAUGGGACACGCUUUGGCCCAGCCCUUUACUCAGAUAGGACAGUGUAGAUGAGCAUGGGAAUAACAUGCAAUAAACACUUAGCUGAACUGGGGCACAUGAGCCUAUAUGGGUGCCCCAUUUUUUAAAAAAAAUUUUUUCUGUUUUUUUUCCAUUGACAUUUUUUUUAUUUUUCCAUUCAAAUUUUUGAGAUUUUCAUUUUUUCAAUGUAACACUUAAGAAUAAAAUUUUUCCUCCAAAA